ensembl:lncRNA
GCCGAACUUCACAGGUUAAGGGCACAGUCCUCCACAAGACCGCAGCCACCACUCAGUCUCAGGGCUUCCCAAGCCAUGCUGAUUUCUGACCAAUUGGCUACAAAUUUGGGACUUUGCUAGAAUGACUCAGAACUCAGGAAAGUGGCACACUUACAAUUAAAAUCAUAACGUGGCAAACGAAGAGACUCAAAAGCAUGAGGUGUCCUUUCCUGGUAGAGUUAAGACGCAUCAAUCUCAGCUCCUCGAUGCGUAACAUAAAGAUACUGUCUCUGUAGUUUCUACUGGGGCUUCAUUAAAUAUGCAUGAAAGACACUUCUAUUACUCUGGAAAAUCCAAGGAUUUAGAGGCUGCCUUCCAGGAACUCAGGACAAAGGCCAUCCAAAUUUUUGUCGUUAGAACACCUUGCUUUUGUCUGUCAUGUAGUCUUUGUAAGGAGUACAAGUUGCUAAUUCUAUCUCGGACAGGGGCUUGAGGAAUGGGUGAGGUCAUUAAUUGGGUUAGACACCGAGUAGCAGACUGGUUCACAGCACUAGGCUGUUUGCCGUUGCUGCAACCUCAGAGUUCAGCAGAAGUCGAUUCGGAGCCCCAGGAACCCCGCUCACAGACCCUGCCUCCUGACCUCCUGCAGGGCUAAACAUCUAGGGCCGCACAUGCGCAGUUCACUGCCCCACGGCGCCUCAGGCGGUCCCGCCCCUGCUCUUCCGGUGGGCCAGAGCACAAUGCCCAAACCUAAACGAGUCCCUGUGGUGAACCCUGGCAGCACUGACUGCGACAGGGGUGCGAGGUGCGCGGCCGAGUGGGGAGGUGUCCGUCAGGACUGGGAUUUACCUGAAAAGUGGCAUGAACCACAACCCACGUCAAUUCAUCUAGAGGAAGUGGCCUCUGGCAACUGGGUGUUUCUCAUCCCAGGACGCACGGAUAGCCCCGCACAACUCCUGAGAUCUCGCGAGAUCGACCUGCCUCUGGGGAGAGUAGGAGGUAGUGUCCUGGGACUGCUUGCUCUCGACCUCCUAGACUACCCCGACGAUCCUUAUACACAGAGAGUUGUAACUGGGCCACAGGUUUGAAGGCUGGGACUUCCUGCCUGAUUCUGCUGUUCUGGGAAUACAGCACGUGUGAAAAAGGCAAAGACCCUGCUCACCGACUUCGUAGUGAGGGAUACAGUCAAUACACAAGUAAGUAAAUAUAAAAAUAUACAAUGGAAUGUUGGUUAGAGAUACAAGUUCUAUGACAGCAAUUGAGCUGGGGAAAGGAAGAAGGACAGAUGGAAGAUGUGAGUGAGGUGGCUAUUCACCUGGAGUCAGGGAAGGCUUCUCUUGAGCAGAUGACAUCUAAGCAGAGAUUUAAAUGAAAUAAGAGAGAAUCCAUGAGACACUCUGUGGAAAGAAUGUUCUAGAUGGGAGCCUAAUGAGUCAAGGGCCCAAGUCGGGAAUAUGUUUUGUGUGCUUAAGGAACAGUGUUUUUGGAGUGAAGUAAGCAAAGUGGAAGAGGAAGGUAAUGAAAUUAGAGGACCAAUGUGGGUCCAGAUGACAUACAUAGAGUGUUUUGGUUAAUGGGAAAGACUUUGGAUUUUGUUAGGGGAAGACAUUUCAGGAUUUUGAGUAGAAUGACAUGAUCUGACUCACAUUUUAAAGGCUGCCCUUGGCUAUUCUAGGAGAAUAAUUACUUGGGAGCAAGUAAGGAAGCAGGGAGACUAAUUAUGAAGUUGUUGCAGCCAUUUAGGUGAGAAGUGAUGGCUUGGGCAGGGUGGGUAGCAGUGGAGGUGGUGAGAAUUAUUUGGAUUUGGG